rnacentral:rRNA from 1 species
GACGAACGCUGGCGGCGUGCUUAACACAUGCAAGUCGAACGGAAAGGCCCUGCUUUUGUUGGGUGCUCGAGUGGCGAACGGGUGAGUAACACGUGAGUAACCUGCCCUUGACUUUGGGAUAACUUCAGGAAACUGGGGCUAAUACCGGAUAGAAUCUCCUGCUGCAUGGUGUGGGUUGGAAAGUUUCGGCGGUUGUGGAUGGACUCGCGGCUUAUCAGCUUGUUGGUGGGGUAGUGGCUUACCAAGGCUUUGACGGGUAGCCGGCCUGAGAGGGUGACCGGCCACAUUGGGACUGAGAUACGGCCCAGACUCCUACGGGAGGCAGCAGUGGGGAAUAUUGCACAAUGGGCGGACGCCUGAUGCAGCAACGCCGCGUGCGGGAUGACGGCCUUCUGGUUGUAAACCGCUUUCGCCUGUGACGAGGCGUGAGUGACGGUAAUGGGUAAAGAAGCACCGGCUAACUACGUG